ACAGAAAUCCAGAGAUAGAGCUGAGAACCCCAGGCCUCCCAACAGACGUGUUGUUAAGGUGGUAUAUAAUCAAUUCUCAAUUAUUUUCAACAAGGAAAGGAAGCAUUAGAGCUGGUACCAGAAGACUACAGGAAGCCUGCUCAGCAGGCUGGAGUCACGGAGGACUCAGGGGCCAGGCACACACGCUGCCGGCACUAGGAGUUCUUGAUUGG
rnacentral:lncRNA from 1 species